rnacentral:SRP_RNA from 14 species
GUCAGGUGUGAUGGCGCGCCUGUAGUCCCAGCUACUCUGGAGGCUGAGGCAGGAGGAUUGCUUGAGCCCAGGAGUUCUGGGCUGUAAUGCACUAUGCCGAUCGGGGGUCCACACUAAGUUUGGCAUCAAUAUGGUGACCUCCCAGGAGCGGGGGACCACCAGGUUGCCUAAGGACAGAUGAACUGGCCCGAUUCAGAAAUGGAGCAGGUCAGAUCUCAGGGUCUACUUGUACCCUAUCAAAGCCCUGAUUUUAGCAUAACAGUCCUGCUGAGGCAGUGCUUUUAGUCUUUGCUGUU